rnacentral:lncRNA from 1 species
AUCCUCGCCCGGCGCCUCACUCACCAAGGGCCGCGCCGGGGUUCUGCACUGUCACUGCGCUGCGGUUCCCCGCCUUAGGGAUUCUCACACGGUUCCACGGCUCCAGGCCCGGCGGCACCGCAGCCAUCAUGCGAGGCGGGGGGACUUACGAAAGGCGGAGCUACGCGAGAGCACGUCCAGCGACCGGAGGGACUUCUGGAAUCCAUCUGCAAGGAAUGCCAGCUGGUGGCUCUUAAAUACCCAGAAACCUAACAAAGAGUACUGGACAAUGUGGAAACUUAAGAAGUGGGACAACAUAGGCACUACCAGCUAUCGGGGUGUAAGAGAGGGGAGUUAUGGGUGAAUUGCAUUCAGUGAAGGCUUCACAGAGGAAGAGAAGGUGAACCUGAGUCUUAAGAUUUAGUUAUACAAAGAGAAAGCAAGGGAAUUUCAGGUUGGAAGGACUAUGCAGGGAAAAGGGAAAAUAAAAGAGUCUGUUGAGAGCCAAUGUAUGAGAGUCUGACUGGAUGAAUUCACUGGAGAAAUUGAAU